CACUUAUCAAGAAAGGCGGAGGGACAGGCCCUAUGAUGCCUUAGCAACCAGUAGCAAUACCAGGUGCUAAAUCCUGUUUCAGGCCUACUUCGGUGGGCCCGGAAGAAGAUAAGCU
rnacentral:ncRNA from 2 species